AGUGAACGCUGGCGGUAGGCCUAACACAUGCAAGUCGAACGGCAGCACAGUAAGAGCUUGCUCUUACGGGUGGCGAGUGGCGGACGGGUGAGGAAUACAUCGGAAUCUACUUUUUCGUGGGGGCUAACGUAGGGAAACUUACGCUAAUACCGCAUACGACCUACGGGUGAAAGCAGGGGAUCUUCGGACCUUGCGCGAUUGAAUGAGCCGAUGUCGGAUUAGCUAGUUGGCGGGGUAAAGGCCCACCAAGGCGACGAUCCGUAGCUGGUCUGAGAGGAUGAUCAGCCACACUGGAGCUGAGACACGGUCCAGACUCCUACGGGAGGCAGCAGUGGGGAAUAUUGGACAAUGGGCGCAAGCCUGAUCCAGCCAUACCGCGUGGGUGAAGAAGGCCUUCGGGUUGUAAAGCCCUUUUGUUGGGAAAGAAAAGCAGCAGGUUAAUACCCCGCUGUUCUGACGGUACCCAAAGAAUAAGCACCGGCUAACUUCGUG
rnacentral:rRNA from 1 species